rnacentral:rRNA from 1 species
GUGGAUUAGAUACCCUGGUAGUCCACGCCGUAAACGGUGGGUACUAGGUGUGGGUUUCCUUCCUUGGGAUCCGUGCCGUAGCUAACGCAUUAAGUACCCCGCCUGGGGAGUACGGCCGCAAGGCUAAAACUCAAAGGAAUUGACGGGGGCCCGCACAAGCGGCGGAGCAUGUGGAUUAAUUCGAUGCAACGCGAAGAACCUUACCUGGGUUUGACAUGCACAGGACGCUGGUAGAGAUAUCAGUUCCCUUGUGGCCUGUGUGCAGGUGGUGCACGGUCGUCGCCAACU